AGCUUCUUGAAUUUUUAAGAAGUAAUUUCUGCCCGGUGUAUUUAUCAACGGCCGCGGUAUCUUGACCGUGCGAAGGUAGCAUAAUCAUUUGUCUUAUAAUUGAAGACUGGAAUGAAAGAAUUUACGAAGGAAAAUCUUUCUUUUUUAAGUUAUUAAAAUUUAUUGUUGAAGUGAAGAAACUUUAAUAAAAAAAUUAGACGAGAAGACCCUAUUGAGCUUUACUAUUUUUUCUUAUAAAAUUUAGUUUACUAUAUUUUUUUAUAUGAAUUUAUAGUUGGAUUGGGGCGAUUAAGGAAAUAAAUUUAUACUUCCUUUUGUUUAUAAACAUAUAAGUUUUUUUUGAUCCAUUUGUAAUGAUUAAAAAAAUAAGUUACCAUAGGGAUAACAGCGUAAUCUUUUUUUAGAGUUCUAAUUAAAAAAAGGGUUUGCGACCUCGAUGUUGGACUAGGAUGUCCUAAGGGUGCAGAAGCUCUUGAUGGUAGGUCUGUUCGACCUUUAAAAUCCU
rnacentral:rRNA from 1 species